rnacentral:rRNA from 1 species
GACGAACGCUGGCGGCGUGCUUAACACAUGCAAGUCGAACGGGCCCGCCCCUGUUUUUGGGGGUGGGUUGAGUGGCGAACGGGUGAGUAUCACGUGAGUAACCUGCCCCCUGCUCCUGGAUAACUGCUUGAAAGGGCGGCUAAUACGGGGUGUGCCGGCUGGUCCGCAUGGGCCUGGUCGGGAUAGUUUCAUCUUCGGGUGUUUCGGUGGGGGAUGGGCUCGCGGCCUAUCAGCUUGUUGGUGGGGUGAUGGCCCACCAAGGCGGUGACGGGUAGCCGGCCUGAGAGGGUGGGCGGCCACACUGGGACUGAGACACGGCCCAGACUCCUGCGGGAGGCAGCAGUGGGGGGUAUUGCACAAUAGGCGGAAGCCUGAUGCAGCGACGUCGCGUGAGGGAUGGAGGCCUUCGGGUUGUGAACCUCUUUCUCCGGUGGUGAAGGCCCUGUCCGUUGCGGCGGGGUUGACGGUAGCCGGGUAUGAAGCGCCGGCUAACUACGUG